rnacentral:rRNA from 1 species
GUGGGGAAUAUUGGGCAAUGGGCGCAAGCCUGACCCAGCAACGCCGCGUGAAGGAAGAAGGCUUUCGGGUUGUAAACUUCUUUUGUCAGGGACGAAGCAAGUGACGGUACCUGACGAAUAAGCCACGGCUAACUACGUGCC